CGGUGUAUGGCGCAGCCUGGUAGCGCACUUGCAUGGGGUGCAAGGGGUCGUAGGUUCGAAUCCUAUUACACCGACCA
rnacentral:tRNA from 1 species